GGACCGUAGCUCAGUGGUUCAGCAUCUGCUCUGCAUGAAGAUGGUCUCAGGUUCAAUCCUUGCCAUCUCCU